rnacentral:tRNA from 1 species
CCGCCCUUAGCUCAGUUGGAUAGAGCAACGGCCUUCUAAGCCGUAGGUCACAUGUUCGAAUCAUGUAGGGCGGGCCA